rnacentral:rRNA from 1 species
UGCUCCUACGGGACGCAGCAGUAGGGAAUUUUCGGCAAUGGGGGGAACCCUGACCGAGCAACACCGCGUGAAGGAAGAGGGAAUUCGUUCUGUAAACUUCUGUUAUAAAGGAAGAAAGGCGGAUGAAGGAAAUGACAUCCGAGUGACGGUACUUUAUGAGAAAGCCACGGCUAACUACGUGCCAGCAGCCGCGGUAAUACGUAGGUGGCAAGCGUUAUCCGGAAUUAUUGGGCGUAAAGAGGGAGCAGGCGGCAGCAAAGGUCUGUGGUGAAAGACUGAAGCUUAACUUCAAUAAGCCAUAGAAC